GCCUCCGCGGUGCAAUCGGCUAGCGCGUUCGGCUGUUAUCCGAAUUUUAAGCUCAUGAAAAAGGUUGGUGGUUCGAUCCCACCCGGAGGCG